UUGGGAGAAAAUUAGAAAAUCUUAGUUUGCCUGGUAAUACACAGUGAUGUUCUGCCACGGAUGGCAGAACAAGGCUUCACGAGCCAUGGACGGCUCGUUGAACGCCGGUCACGUUCCUUUGAGAAAAAGUAGAUCAGGCAGACUUAGAUUUUCUUAUUUUUGUAC
rnacentral:ncRNA from 1 species